rnacentral:rRNA from 1 species
ACCUGAUUGAGUAAUCUUGAAGGAAGUUAGUGGCGAAAGGGUGAGUAAUGGAUAGAUAACGUACCCCGAACACUGGGAUAGCUGCGGAACUUCGGUUCCUUUGCGAAAGUGGAGAUAAUACCAGAUAAUAUCUUACUGUCGAAUGGGAGAAAGACCAAAGGUUCGCCGGUUUGGGAGUGGUCUAUGUCGCAUCAGCUUGUUGGUGAGGUAACGGCUCACCAAGGGAUCGACGCGUAGCGGGACUGAGAGGUUGACCCGCCACAUCGGGACUGAGACACUGGCCGGACCUCCACGGAGGGCUGCAGUAACGAAUAUUGCGCAAUGGACGAAAGUUUGACGCAGCGACGCCGUGUGUAGGAUGAAGGGCUUCCGGUCCUAAACUACUGUCAGAGUGAAGAAAGAUCUGAUCGAUCUCAAAGGAAGCACCGGCUAACUCCGUGCCAGCCGCCGCGGUAAUACGGAGGAUGCAAGCGUUGUUCGGAAUCAUUGGGGCUUAAAGAGCUCGUAGGCGGAUUGUUAAGCAUCUUGUGAAAUCCCCUGGGCUUAACCAGGGAAGUGCUCGAUGGUACUGGCAAUCUUGAGGCAGUAGACCACGUGGAACUCCCGGUGGAGCGGUGAAAUGCGUAGAUAU